AUGGUAAAUAAACACUUGAUUGAAAGUCUUACCUGUAAAAACAGGACUCUUGUCAACAGCUGCAAUGCUUUAAAGCAACUCAUUUUUGCUUUCCAAAACAAAACAAAACACCUUCCACCUUCAGGUGAGGCACUGAUUCUAGAUGAAGGUCCGAUUGAAUAUUAUUUUGCGCCUCAUGUUGAUUUCGAAUUUGGAGAUGCGAUUGAGGCCCUAAAGCUGAAGAACACCGAGCUGGAAAUAAUGAAUGCCACAUUGUUUAAGAAAUUGCAGGAAAUUGAAAACUUGCAGAGGAAAGAGCAGCAGGAGUUGGUCUUGCCGGCACUAGAAGAAAUGCUGGCGUUGUCUUGCGCGAGCCACCCUCAGCCAAGUAUCAAUGUGGAGGACAUGAAUGUGGAUGAGUUGAAGGAAUGUUUGGUCUCAACAUGUCAGACCCUUGAGCAGAGCAUCACUGACAGCCAAAAUCAAAAGAAUCAGCUUGAAAAACUUAACUGUAUAAAUGAGGCUGUUAUGGAGAAAAGAAACAUUGAAAAUGAAGCCCUUCAGGAGAAAGUGAAGCAGUUGGAGAACGAAGUGCAGAACCAAUCCCCGAUCAGCGACAGGAUUGCUUACUUUUUAAUGACGAAGACCGACAUCGAGGCGGAGAGGAACAAAUAUCAGGAGGAGCUCAAUGCGCUCCUUAAAGAGAGGAUGGAAGUCGAAGGUCUGGAUGAGAAUCUCAACGAACAGCUGAUAAGGAUGAAGGAUUUCAGCAGCUACAUCAAUUUGAUCAGCGAACUUGAAAAGCAAGUCGACAACCUUCGGGAUUCGGUGCAAGCGAUCAAACACAAGAAGAAAAAGAAGCAGUUUUCACUGUUCAAAAAAAUUUGGAAAUUCUUCCUUUCAGAAUCAAAGAUUAUUAGAGUGAAUGUUGAUUUCCUCAUCAGAGAGAAACGGGAGGUGAGAAAAAAGAUUGAUAUCCUGGAAAACGAGCUGAAGGUAGUUGAGAAUAUUCUUAAUGUUUACUGCAACAUCCAAGACACAUACCAGAAAGAAAUGGAUGAUCUCCGAGAGCAAGUGAGGAACUGCGAGGAAAUCAUCGAGAAAACCCUUCCUUCACUUUGUCAAAGGUUCCUUAAUUUCUUCUCUCCGGGACAGAGCACCGAGGAGAAGGAGCUGAAGGAAAUGCCUAAAAAAAAGAAGAACUAUAAGUUACUGAAGGAGCAGCUGGAAGAUGUGCAGAAGUUGCUGUGUUCGCACCAAAUCAAUGCAGAAAAAAUCAAAACUAAGAUCAGCGGACUACGUGAGAAAGAACGGGCGCUCGAUUUCAACAUGAUAGAACUAAACAGCCUGACUCUGAAGAAGCAAAAGAUUAGCACGUUAUAUAAUUGA
rnacentral:lncRNA from 1 species